GACGCAAUUUCUAAAAAUAGAAACAAGAAACAUGGCAAUGCCAUGAAACCAGGUUUUCAAUUAUCACCAUUGUAGAUAAAUAUGUUGUAUUUGAAAUACAAAUACAAGCAACAAACAAUGUAACUAUGUGCAAUGUAAAACAUGAAUAAUGUAGGAGGAAUUGCCACUGAAGAAGUGUUCACUAUAUAUCCUGAAUAAGGAAAAAAACAAAGGGCCAUAAUUAGAUCAAAAAUUAUUCAAUCACAAAACCCCAACAAUAUGUGCCAGGGCGCUUGAUGACAAAGCUUCUGUGAAAGUUUGAACAAAAUCCGUUGAGAAAUGUAGGACGAGUUCAGCACAGAAGAAUUUGUUCACUAUAUAUUGAUAAUUCUGUAUAAGGAAAAAAACAAAGGGCCAUAAUUAGGUCAAAUAUUAUCCAAUCACAAAACCCUGACAAUAUGCGCCAGGGCACUUGAUGACAAAGCUUCUGUGAAAGUUUGGUCAAAACCCGUUGAGAAAUGUAGAGGGAGUUCAGCACAGAAGAAAUUGUUCAGUAUAUAUUCUGUAUAAGGAAAAAAAAACAAAGGGCAAUAAUUAAGUCAAAUAUUAUCCAAUCACAAAACCCUGACAAUAUGCGCCAGGGCACUUACUGACAAAGCUUAUGUGAAAGUUUGAACAAAAUCCGUUGAGAAUUGUAGAGGGAGUUCAGCACAGAAGAAAUUGUUCACAAUAUAUUCUAUAUAAGAAAAAAAAACAAAGGGCAAUAAUUAGGUCAAAUAUUAUCCAAUCACAAAACCCCGACAAUAUGCCCCAGGGCACUUGGUGACAAAGGUUCUGUGAAAGUUUGGUCAACAUCCGUGGAGAAAUGUAGGAGGAGUUGCGCACAGAAGAAAUUGUUCACUAUAUAUUCUGUAUAAGGAAAAAAAACAAAGGGCCGUAAUUAGGUCAAAUAUUAUCCAAUCACAAAACCCCGACAACAUGCCCCAGGGCACUUGAUGACAAAGCUUCUGUAAAAGUUUGGUCAAAAUCAGUUGAGAAAUGUAGAAGGAGUUGCGCACAGAAGAAAUUGUUCACUAUAUAUUCUAUAUAAGGAAAAAAAACAAAAGGGCCAUAAUUAGGUCAAAUAUUAUCCAAUCACAAAACCCCGACAAUAUGCCCCAGGGCACUUGGUGACAAAGGUUCUGUGAAAGUUUGGUCAACAUCCGUGGAGAAAUGUAGGAGGAGUUGCGCACAGAAGAAAUUGUUCACUAUAUAUUC